rnacentral:rRNA from 1 species
UACAGAGGCCCCAAGCGUUAGGCGGAAUCACUGGGCUUAAAGCGUGUGUAGGCGGGUUGGUAAGUACCUUGUGAAAUCCCCCGGCUCAACUGGGGAACUGCACAGGAGACUGCUUGGCUUGAGUUCGGGAGAGGGAAGCGGAAUUCCGGGUGUAGCGGUGAAAUGCGUAGAUAUCUGGAGGAACACCGGUGGCGAAGGCGGCCUGCUGGGUUCUGGCUGACACUGAGGCGCGACAGCGUGGGGAGCAAACAGG